GUCUGUAUGGGAAACUAGCUCAAUUGGUUAGAGCAUGGUGUUGGCAACACCAGGGUUGCAGUUUCAAUCCCCAUAAGGGACA